AAACCAAACAAGGUUUGUUUUUUAUUUUUUGAUGCGUGAAAUCGUAGUGAUAUUGGUGUAAGAAAUAGUCUCGAGCCUUCAUGUUCGUUUAUUUUGCCCUGUGAAACUUUUCUUGCCUUAGUGUUUGUUUCAGUUAUUGGCGAAGUGUAAAUGAUGCAAUUAGUAUUAUAUGUAGUUUUAUGGUUGCUGAGAAAGUAUGAAAAUAGAAGUGAAAUUGAAGUUUUUAAUCUUAUGAGUUUCUUUUCUUUGUUUAGAGAAAACCCAUUACAGCUAAUUAGCCCCAUGUAAUUGUUUGGAUUAUUUGAGUUUUUCGUUAAUA
rnacentral:misc_RNA from 1 species